rnacentral:rRNA from 1 species
CAGCAGCCGCGGUAAUACGUAGGUGGCAAGCGUUGUCCGGAUUUAUUGGGUUUAAAGGGUGCGUAGGCGGUUAUAUAAGUCAGUGCUGAAAUAUCCCGGCUUAACCGGGAGGGUGGCAUUGAUACUGUAUAACUUGAGUAAAGUUGAGGUGGGCGGAAUUGACGGUGUAGCGGUGAAAUGCUUAGAUAUCGUCAAGAACACCGAUUGCGAAGGCAGCUCACUAAGCUUUAACUGACGCUGAGGCACGAAAGUGUGGGGAUCAAACAGGAUUAGAUACCCUGGUAGUCCACACUGUAAACGUUGAUUACUCGCUGUUGGCGAUACACAGCCAGCGGCCAAGCGCAAGCGAUAAGUAAUCCACCUGGGGAGUACGCCGGCAACGGUGAAACUCAAAGGAAU